rnacentral:rRNA from 1 species
AGGACGAACGCUGGCGGCGUGCCUAACACAUGCAAGUCGAGCGAUGAAACCCUUCGGGGUGGAUUAGCGGCGGACGGGUGAGUAACACGUGGGUAACCUGCCUCAAAGAGGGGGAUAGCCUCCCGAAAGGGAGAUUAAUACCGCAUAACAUUAUUUCUUCGCAUGAAGAGAUAAUCAAAGGAGUAAUCCGCUUUGAGAUGGACCCGCGGCGCAUUAGCUAGUUGGUGAGGUAAUGGCUCACCAAGGCAACGAUGCGUAGCCGACCUGAGAGGGUGAUCGGCCACAUUGGAACUGAGAUACGGUCCAGACUCCUACGGGAGGCAGCAGUGGGGAAUAUUGCGCAAUGGGGGAAACCCUGACGCAAGCAACGCCGCGUGGGUGAAGAAGGCCUUCGGGUUGUAAAGCUCUGUCUUCUGGGACGAUAAUGAUGGUACCAGAGGAGGAAGCCACGGCUAACUACGUGCCAGCAGCCGC